rnacentral:lncRNA from 1 species
GCUUAGCUUGCUACCUCGUCACCGACCAUGCUCUGCGCACAGCAACCCAUAGGAUCGAAACCCGGCUGUAAAGUACGGCAUGUACCGCAUGACCUGUCGCAUGUUGCGUUUAUGACGCCAUCGACAAAACGUGCGCUUUACCUGGGAUGGGAGCGAGAAUGUGGAUGGCGAAAUGCUAGAGGACGACGGUGGGGCGGCUACCGACAUAUAUACUGACGACACAUAUACUUACAGGGCACACUGCAGGACCGACAUGUCGUUCGCACGUUGCCGGAACUUAGAGCACGAUGCCAAGAAAGGCAAGAUGCUCAACAUGUAUGUGGGGUUCCCAGUGGUUUGCCGCCGGAUGGAGCCGUAGGUUGCAUGACCGCUAUCGCCGGAGGAGAUCUACAGGAGGAUAUGGCGGUCUGAUCACAUGCCUCGGCUGUCGGCCGACAUGAGAAUCCCCUUGAGCCCUCGGCUCGUAUUGGGCGGUUUGCAGGUACGGGGAACGCACCCCACGACCAUGUAACACACACAUACAUGAGAAUCCGGCCUACCAACCGACUCAACUCAGUCUGGGAUUGUGCACAUCGAAGUCCUGUGAAGUAACUAAGAUAUGAGUUUUCUAACAAGGAAAGUUUGCGGAAGGUGGAUCUCAUCAUGCGAUGAGAGUGAGUGCGAUAAAUCGCUUGGAGCUGCGGCGAUUGGAUUGGAUCUUGGAGGUUGUUGGUCUUUGCAUGAACGGCGCAGGAUUUGGAGCAUCAUUUCGGCUGUAGUUGACAUGCGGCUUUGUUAUUGCGUCAGUCGGUCGGAGCGUGGCCUUCCUGCUGACAGCCGUAGCCUAGCCUGCGGCCAAAAUAAAUUCGUUGCCGCAGUUAUGCGAGCGGACAUAGGUGUACGGACAUAGGUGUGCGGACAUAGGUGUACGGACAUAGGUGUGCGGACAUAGGUGUACGGACAUAGGUGUGCGGACAUAGGUGUGCGGACAUAGGUGUACGGACAUAGGUGUACGGACAUAGGUGUGCGGACAUAGGUGUACGGACAUAGGUGUGCGGACAUAGGUGUACGAGUGCGCACGCGGCAGUCUGCAUUCGGCUUGGUUUCCUUGCCGGUGACUUGCACUGUACCCCCUGUUGCCAUUCUGAGGUUCAAAUUUGAUAAAUGCUCCCAGUUCUUUUGUUACCGGCAAUUCAUUCUUGUCUGCCAAUAUCUGUUGUAUAUAGGCAAGUUAUAACAAGUUAUGUUGACGCUGCAACGUGUUGUUGCCAGCAGGUCUUGCUCCUAUGAUUCAAGGAGUACCCGUACCCGUUCGACGCAGGGAAGUACAGCUACAACCCUGCCGUCCUUUGCCUGGAGGCCUAGUUUUAUUAAUGGGCACUGUCAAAGACGAAUCGGCUUCGGAUUGAAAAGGACACAGCUAAACCUGUCGUCACCCCAUCCGGCGGCUGCCUACCAAGAAGUACCGAAGUAUACGAUAGCCUUUAAUAAGUUAAAAAGCUGUCUUUAAUAAAUAAAAAGGCUGUUAUCAACAAUGUUAAAUAGUUGGUACAUAAUGCAGCCAAGCUUGGCUAAACGAGAUGCAACUACCAUCGGCGAGAAAUGUAACGGAGCCGCAAAAUUUUGAACAAUU